AGGCUGCAACUCGCCUACAUGAAGUCGGAAUCGCUAGUAAUCGCGGAUCAGCAUGCCGCGGUGAAUACGUUCCCGGGCCUUGUACACACCGCCCGUCACACCAUGAGAGUUUGUAACACCCAAAGCCGGUGGGGUAACCUUUCGGAGCCAGCCGUCUAAGGUGGGACAGAUGACUGGGGUGAAGUCGUAACAAGGUAGC
rnacentral:rRNA from 1 species